rnacentral:lncRNA from 1 species
GUAAAAUAAAACAAUGUUUUCUAAAUCUGAUAGCAAUAUAUGUGGGAUCACACUCUCUAUUUUCUGAAACCAUCUGCAGGCACUUCAAUUGCAGGAUAUAUGAUCACCUAUGAAAUCAAUUUGAGUUAAAUGGAAAUGAGCAAGUUGUACUGAUUAGGAGUCAUUACAUACUCUGUAUGUAGAUACAUUCAUACGUAAAGAAAAAGAGUUUAGCUCGUGGUCUACCAUUUGAUGAAUUUAUUUAUGGUCCAUUAUAUCAAGAAAACAAGAUAUGAUCAUAGACCACUGAUGUUGAUUCAAAGGUAUAUGUUUGACUAUAAUCAAGAGAAUGCGAGAAAAAACGCAAAAAGAAAGAAAAAUUAC